rnacentral:rRNA from 1 species
CCUGGCGGCCUUAGCGCGGUGGUCCUACCUGACCCCAUGCCGAACUCAGAAGUGAAACGCCGUAGCGCCGAUGGUAGUGUGGGGUCUCCCCAUGCGAGAGUAGGGAACUGCCAGGC